GAUGAACGCUGACAGAAUGCUUAACACAUGCAAGUCAACUGUGGCGGACGGGUGAGUAACGCGUAAAGAACUUGCCUCACAGAUAGGGACAACAUUUGGACACGAAUGCUAAUACCUGAUACUGUGAGAGAGCUUUGCGUCCCCUUAGCUAGUUGGAGAGGUAACGGCGCACCAAGGUGAUGAUGGGUAGCCAGCCUGAGAGGGUGGUCGGCCACAAGGGGACUGAGAGACGGCCCUUACACCAACGAGAGGCAGCAGUGGGGAAGAUAGGACACAGGACAAAAGUGUGUUACGGCAAUUAAGGGUGCACGAUGAAGUUUUCGGAAUGGAAAGUGCUUUCAGUUGGAAAGCAAUGCCAACAGAAGAAGGGACGGCUAAAUACGUACCAGCAGCCGCGGUAAUAC
rnacentral:rRNA from 1 species